GGGUCAGUAGGUUGGUCGUGCCACCGGUACGUACUGGUCUCACCGAUUCCUCCUUCCUGAAGAACCGUAAUGCCAUUAAUUUGGUGUUGUGGGGAAACAGGACUGUUACUUUGAAAAAAUUAGAGUGUUUAAAGCAAGCUAACGCUUGAAUACAUUAGCAUGGAAUAAUGAAAUAGGACGAUCGAUCCUAUUUUGUUGGUUUCUAGGAUUGACGUA
rnacentral:rRNA from 1 species